rnacentral:piRNA from 1 species
UCGGUUGUGUGCUUCCGAAUGGGCUC